rnacentral:rRNA from 1 species
AGAGGUGGCAAGCGUUGUUCGGAAUUACUGGGCGUAAAGGGCGCGCAGGCGGUUCGUCAAGUCCCGUGUGAAAUCCCCCGGCUCAACUGGGGAACUGCGCGGGAAACUAGCGGGCUUGAGUUCGGGAGAGGGAAGCGGAAUUCCGGGUGUAGCGGUGAAAUGCGCAGAUAUCCGGAGGAACACCAGUGGCGAAGGCGGCUUCCUGGACCGACACUGACGCUGAGGCGCGAAAGCUAGGGGAGCGAACGGGAUUAGAUACCCCGGGUAGUCCUAGCCCUAAACGUUGAGCACUGGGUGUAGGGGGUAUGAACCCCCCCCCUGUGCCCGAGGCUAACGCAUUAAGUGCUCCGCCUGGGGAGUACGGUCGCAAGGCUG